GGACGGGAGCCGCUCCCGGGCGGCACACAGCCGAGUCCCUCCUCCCCUCCCCGCAGGCAGCCUGUGCCUUUUCUCCAAACGAAGACAGCACUUUGAAAAUUCUUUCAAUGGAUUUUUUUUUCCUUGAAAGAUCGUACUGGGGGAAAAUGAUACUUCUAUUAGUUACAUAUUCUCCAAUCGCAUACUCGCACCCCCCUCGUUUUGAGAUCGCUCCCCUAGGCAGGCUCAGGCGGGCGCGGAGCCGCGCGGAGUGACAAAGCCGCCGCUGCCGCCGCCGGGGGUGGGAGCCGCGCUCGCCCGCCCGCCCCUCGACUCGCGAGGGCGUAAAAGUUUGUCUCAGCUCGAGCAUUCCUAGCGCCAACACGCCCUCAGGUAAAGGUGGAAGUAAAUGGCCACGCUGUAUUGACAGAGCAGGUAGAUGAAACUCAAGAGAAAAGGUGUGGAUAAAUGAAACUAGCCCAUGAUGAACCUGUUUUCUCCGUGACCACAAUAUUAACCAGGAUGAAUGGCGGUGGCAGUGGGCCUGCAUCACAGGUUGCAGCAGAUGUUCUCAAUAUUUCUAUUAAAAUUUCCUUAUUUCCAUAUGCAAGAGGAGCCCCAGAGCUGCAUCCUUAUGGUAGCUACCAUGCCGUGAUGUAAGCUGCCAUUCACUGGGGAGCUUUGGCAAUAGAAUUGGCUAGAUCAGGAAGCCUAUGUCAACUAUGGAACAACAACUUGCAGCUCAUCUCUAUUGAUGGACCUCUAACAAUGAUAUUGGAAGAAUAGAUACUAAGUCUUGGAGAGGUGAAACAGUCGCAAAUGGAAUUCCAAGAAACAUUCUAUCAUCAGGUAUUAUCUACUGCUGUCUGCAGAAUUCAGACAUGGAGGGCUCAAUGGUGUCCCCUGGUCUUUGGAACAUUCUGUAUUUUAAUGAUCAUGAUACACUGCCUCUAGGACUGGGACAGAUAGCCACUGAGUACCUGCUUCAAAUCACCCUGCACGUUUUCUCUUUGGAAAGAUAAGCACUGGAGAACCAUCUCGUUACCUUCAGCAGAAAUGGAAACAAAUCAAGACAUUAAGAAUGCCGCAGUGGACAGCAGUUAUGCAAGGUUCAGCAGAGGAAGUUUUCAAGAUGGUGUGCCUCACUAGCCAGAAAUCAGAAAAGAUCGAAGCUAGCCUUUUCAUCUCAGCUGCUCCUUAAAUCAGUGCAACCCCUCCAAAUUAAUGUGAAUUGAAACUUGCAUUGCUUUUCAACUUAAUUGAAUACUUACUAUAUGUGAACCACUGCACAAAAUAGGGGAAGAAGAUGUGGGAGACAAAGAUGUGGAGCCUGUCUUCAAUAAAUUUACAGUUAGUUUCAGGGUACAUUGUUUUUCUUCUGCUGUUAAUUAGGUGUAUCCCCAAGACAAUAAAUACAUGAAUGGAAAAGUAUAUUCUGUGUUUUAAGUCUCUUUAAUAAAAAACAAAACAAAAUCCAAAAAAACUCCUAACAUGGCAACUCAGGACAUUUUAAUCCUUUUUUUUGUUGUUGGGCUUCUGAUAGGAUCCAUUUUAUUGAUUCCAUAAAUAUUUAGUAGACUUUAGACAUAUUAAUACAUUGUAGUUUGAGUUAAUUUGCAUUAAAUUCUGUUUUUUUCCCCUUAGGUAUAGAUUGUCUGUUGGAAAAAUAUAUUGCUUGUGGAUUUCUUGGGGAGUGGGAAGGUGAAUUAUACCUGUUGUCUCUACAGUCCACUACCUUCCACACCCUAGGGCAGUGGUCCCCAACCUUCUUGGCACCAGGGAUCAGUUUCCUGGAAGACAAUUUUUCUGUGGAUGGUGUGGGGAUGGUUUUGGGAUGGAACUGUUCCACCUCAGAUCAUCAGGCAUUAGUUAGGCUCUCAUAACGAGUGCGCAGCCUAGAUCCCUCACAUGCACAGUUCACAGUAGGGUUUGCGCUGCUAUGAGAAUCUAAGGCUGCCACUGAUCUGACAGGAGGCAGAACUCAGGUGGCAAUGCUUACUGGCCCACUGCUCACCUCUUGCUGUGCGGCCUGGUUCCUAAUAGGCCAUGGACCCCCACAGACGGGUACUAGUCUGCAGCCUGUGGACCCCAGCCCUAGGGGCCUGCCAUUCUGAGUGAGUUAUUAGCAUGAAGAAGAGGAAGAUCUGGAUCAAACGUGGGUGAUGGUACUCAGAGACCCAAGAUAGGAUAGGGAUGGAACAAAAUCCAUCUGGGCAACGGCUCUAUGAAAAUUUGGCUAAGUAAUUAUUUCAGUAUUCAUUGUAUUCAUUGUCCUUCGUGUUCCAUAAGUUAAAUGACUGUCUAAUUUUUCCAAAAAUUUAUUUCUGACUUGAGAAUAAGUGUGUCAUGAUUUUCCCAGUGUAAAGACACUGAUAUAACUGUAGAUACCAGACAUUUUAUGUAGUGUCUAUGACACAUUUUAGUAUGUAUGAGCCAACAAUAGACAUGUCUUUGUCUUGAGGAGUGUCCAUCUGAAUUGAAAAUGUGUCAGCUUUUUUUUAACAUCAUCAACAGACUUCUUAAUUAAGCUGCCAAUACAUACUGCCAAUAGCACUGUGUGCUGUCUGAGAAAUGCAU
rnacentral:lncRNA from 1 species